rnacentral:rRNA from 1 species
GUAUAAGGUCUGGCCUGCCCACUGAUAAUUGAAGGGCCGCGGUAUACUAACCGUGCGAAGGUAGCAUAGUCAAUAGUCUUUUAAUUGAAGGCUUGAAUGAACGGUCGGACAUGGGGGGAGCUGUCUUAUUAAGUGGUUCCGAAGUUGACUUCUGUGUGAAAAGGCAUUGAUAGGUUGGGGGGACGAUAAGACCCUAUAAAACUUUAUGGUUGGGUGGUAAUCCCCUGAUUUUAGUAAAGGGGGAGUGUAACAGAUCAUUACGCUGGGGCGGCGGGAAUAUAAGCUGUAACUGUUCUUAUAGAUAAAACGAUUAUAGUCAGAUAUUGACCCUGAAUUUUGGUUUAUAAGUGUAAGUUACUUUAGGGAUAACAGCGUUAUUUUCCCUGAGAGUCCAUAUCGACGGGAACAUUUGCGACCUCGAUGUUGAAUUAAAGCUUUUUCCGGGGGUAGUAGUCGGAAGGUA